rnacentral:lncRNA from 1 species
UUGGUUUCUGUGUUAAAUCAUGAUGGAUGGCUUUGAAUUUGAUAAACUUGGGAAUGAAACAGAGACAAGUCAGAAUUCUGAAUGCAAUUUACUUAUCUUUUUUCCCCCCCUCUGCGUGUCCCUUAAAAGAAUUUAAAACAGGAUUCUAAUUGACGGCAAGGAACAAUGAGGGUACCGAUACCCAAUCAAUAUUGCUACUGGCUAACCUUUUAUAAUUCAAAGGCAGAAAUUGAAAAGGAAUGCUAUUUUUAUUUUUACAAAGGAAUCUGAUCUUAGCG